CGCCAUACUUGGCGGGCGGCCUCUGUGUGCCAAAAUAGGCCACGGGCACAGCCGCGCACAAAAAUCAGCCCCCGAAGGUCGGGGUCCCAAGACCCCCCAGUGGAAAAAUGGCCAAAAAACGGGUGGGCUAUAGCCUUGGUGGGGGGCGUGGGCGAACUUCGUCCGCGGGACUCGGAAUGGCCCCUGACUUGGCGGGCGGCCUCCGUGUGCCAAAAAUAGGCCACGGGCACAGCCGCGCCCAAAAAUCAGCCCCCGAAGGUCGGGGUCCCAAGACCCCCCAGCGGAAAAAUGGCCAAAAAACGGGUGGGCUAUAGCCUUGGUGGGGGGCGUGGGCGAAGUUCGUCCGCGGGACUCGGAAUGGCACCAUACUAGGCGGGCGGCCUCAUUGUGCCAAAAAUAGGCCACGGGCACAGCCGCGCCCAAAAAUCAGCCCCCGAAGGUCGGGGUCCCAAGACCCCCCAGUGGAAAAAUGGCCAAAAAACGGGUGGGCUAUAGCCUUGGUGGGGGGCGUGGGCGAACUUCGUCCGCGGGACUCGGAAUGGCCCCUGACUUGGCGGGCGGCCUCCGUGUGCCAAAAAUAGGUCACGGGCACAGCCGCGCCCAAAAUCCAGCCCCCGAAGGUCGGGGUCCCAAGACCCCCCAGCGGAAAAAUGGCCAAAAAACGGGUGGGCUAUAGCCUUGGUGGGCGGCGUGGGCGAAGUUCGUCCGCGGGACUCGGAAUGGCACCAUACUUGGCGGGAGGCCUCUGUGUGCCAAAAAUAGGCCACGGGCACAGCCGCGCCCAAAAAUCAUCCCCCGAAGGUUGGGGUCCCAAGACCCCCCAGCGGAAAAAUGGCCAAAAAACGGGUGGGCUAUAGCCUUGGUGGGGGGCGUGGGCGAACUUCGUCCGCGGGACUGGGAAUGGCCCCUGACUUGGGGGGCGGCCUCCGUGUGCCAAAAAUAGGCCACGGGCACAGCCGCGCCCAAAAAUCAACCCCCGAAGGUCGGGGUCCCAAGACCCCCCAGCGGAAAGAUGGCCAAAAAACGGGUGGGCUAUAGCCUUGGUGGGGGGCGUGGGCGAACUUCGUCCGCGGGACUCGGAAUGGCCCCUGAAUUGGCGGGCGGCCUCCGUGUGCCAAAAAUAGGCCACGGGCACAGCCGCGCUCAAAAAUCAGCCCCCGAAAGGUCGGGGUCCCAAGACCCCCCAGCGGAAAAUGGCCAAAAAACGGGUGGGCUAUAGCCUUGCUGGGGGGCGUGGGCGAACUUCGUCCGCGGGACUCGGAAUGGCCCUUGAAUUGGCGGGCGGCCUCCGUGAGCCAAAAAUAGGCCACGGGCACAGCCGCGCCCAAAAUUCAACCCCCGAAGGUCGGGGUCCCAAAACCCCCCAUCGGAAAAAUGGCCAAAAAACGGGUGGGCUAUAGCCUUGGUGGGGGGNNNNNNNNNNNNNNNNNNNNNNNNNNNNNNNNNNNNNNNNNNNNNNNNNNNNNNNNNNNNNNNNNNNNNNNNNNNNNNNNNNNNNNNNNNNNNNNNNNNNNNNNNNNNNNNNNNGGGGUCCCAGACCCCCCAGCGGAAAAUGGCCAAAAAACGGGUGGGCUAUAGCCUUGGUGGGCGGCGUGGGCGAAGUUCGUCCGCGGGACUCGGAAUGGCACCAAACUUGGCGGGCGGCCUCUGGGUGCCAAAAAUAGGCCACGGGCACAGCCGCGUCCAAAAAUCAGCCCCCGAAGGUCGGGGUCCCAAGACCCCCCAGCGGAAAAAUGGCCAAAAAACGGGUGGGCUAUAGCCUUGGUGGGGGGCGUGAGCGAACUUCGUCCGCGGGACUCAGAAUGGCCCCUGACUUGGCGGGCGGCCUCCGUGUGCCAAAAAUAGGCCACGGGCACAGCCGCGCCCAAAAAUCAACCCCCGAAGGUCGGGGUCCCAAGACCCCCCAGCGGAAAAAUUGCCAAAAAACGGGUGGGCUAUAGCCUUGGUGGGGGGCGUGGGCGAACUUCGUCCGCGGGACUCGGAAUGGCCCCUGACUUGGCGGGCGGCCUCCGUGUGCCAAAAAUAGGCCACGGACACAGCCGCGCCCAAAAAUCAGCCCCCGAAGGUCGGGGUCCCAAGACCCCCCAGCGGAAAAAUGGCCAAAAAACGGGUGGGCUAUAGCCUUGGUGGGCGGCGUGGGCGAAGUUCGUCCGCGGGACUCGGAAUGGCACCAUACUUGGCGGGCGGCCUCUGUGUGCCAAAAAUAGGCCACGGGCACAGCCGCGCCCAAAAAUCAGCCCCCGGAGGUCGGGGUCCCAAGACCCCCCAGUGGAAAAAUAGCCAAAAAACGGGUGGGCUAUAGCCUUGGUGGGGGGCGUGGGCGAACUUCGUCCGCGGGACUCGGAAUGGUCCCUGACUUGGCGGGCGGCCUCCGUGUGCCAAAAAUAGGCCACGGACACAGCCGUGCCCAAAAAUCAGCCCCCGAAGGUCGGGGUCCCAAGACCCCCCAGCUGAAAAAUGGCCAAAAAACGGGUGGGCUAUAGCCUUGGUGGGCGGCGUGGGCGAAGUUCGUCCGCGGGACUCGGAAUGGCACCAGACUUGGCGGGCGGCCUCUGUGUGCCAAAAAUAGGCCACGGGCACAGCCGCGCCCAAAAAGCAGCCCCCGGAGGUCGGGGUCCCAAGACCCCCCAGCGGAAAAAUGGCCCAAAAACGGGUGGGCUAUAGCCUUGGUGGUGGGCGUGGCGAAGUUCGUCCGCGGGACUCGGAU
rnacentral:lncRNA from 1 species